CAAAAUGAAGACGUGGGACUUCCAUAUGAAAUGACUUUAUUUUUGGGAUCAUGAAGUACUAGAAUAGCAAACACAACACCUACAUUUGUAUCUGCCUUGCAAAGCUGAAAUCUAAUUCAUCUCGCUACCCGUGAAAUUCAAAUCCGCGUUGCCAUGUGAUAAUAAAUAAACAAUUGUUGAUUCGCCAUGGGGGAAGUCUGUUGCAUCGACAGUUGCAAAACUCGGGACAAAUUCAGCAUCCCAUCCCAUACAGUGGUUUCCCUAUACCGUUUUCCCGAAGACAACGACAAAUUGACCGUUUGGAAAGAGUUCUGUCGUAAACACGGCACGAUAGUCAAAGGAAAGCUAGAGCAUCGCCGAAGUUAUUCUCGGCAUUUUGAUGCAUCAUACUUCAAGGAUCCGUUUGUAAUUUUUAUUAUAUUACUGUUUAUCGAUAUAUAAGAAAUACACCAAAACAAUGAAAGAUUCAUUAUUGUAGUUUCAAUGGAUUUUUAUAACUGGAUAAAUCACAUUGGAGGGUCGAAAACAAUGAACAUCUAGUAGAAAAUGGGAUGGCAGGUCGAAUCCUUUUUACUUCGGCAGGGAGUUUGAAAUCUCGCUUUUUGCAUACAACAUUAGCGCGGUGCUUCUGGUGAUGGUCAACCGCGCGACGACCGGAAGGUUGAAUUUUCACAAGGAAAUGUCCCCCUGCUGUUAUCAUGAGCAGUAACAUCGCAAAGCUGAUAUAAAAUUAGGUGUUAGGUUCAAAUGUCAAAAUUGGGUACCGGGGACCAAAUGUAGUACUAGAAGAGGUACCCGUUGUGAGCCCGGGUCCUAUGUCUCUAUUUGUCUCUGCUGAAAUGGAACAAAAACGUUGCCUUUGUUACAUUAGGAAGCAUAUGAUACGCAUCUUGCGAAAAAAAACUUGAUGUUGACAAU